CUCUACUCUAUAGUACCCCUCCCCCUUCUCUCUUCUCCCGCUUUCUCUCUCUCUCUAUAGUUUCUCUUCCUCUGCCCCCCCCCCCCCACACACACACACCUCUGUGCCUCUGCACUCUUCCGUCCCACUGAGAAAAAUCUCUUUUUUUUGAUUACAUUUUUAAUGUUUAAUUUUAGUCUUUAAUUUUAACUCCGUUUACAGUUCACGUCCUACUGUUGCCCGGGAGACACUUGUCUUUUUGAUGUUUUUUUUUCUCCAAAUAUGUCAUUUUGAUUAAUUGUACCAAAAGACGCAGACAUGGAAGUCUGAUUUAACGAAGACCAAUGUGUGUGAGAUGGGCCAUAAGCCGUGUGUGUGGACACACACCACUCACACUCACAUUGUAACUUUAGUGUGACUGUUGUGUUUUCUAACAGACAUUUGUGUGUGUGUGUUAGUGUUGUCACGAUACCAAAAUUAUGACUUCGAUACGAUACCUGCCAUAAAUACCUCGAUAGUCGAUACUGAACCGAUACUACGGUGAAAUUCUAAAAUAUCUGGAAAAGAGAUAAUGGUCUGGUUCGGUUUCACUUUCACCAGCUUGUUCCUGUCCGGGUUUUUUUGAGCAAAUCACACUAUUCCCCAGAGCUAGUAUGAGCAUAAUCUCUUGUUUGUUAACAUAUGUGACUCUGCAAAGCGAAACCAGUCGUUUCGGUAAAAUUUACUAAAUGAAUAAAUUAUUAACGGCCAUAAACUAAGCUUUCCAACGAUAUGUAUAUCGAGGGUAUUACACAAACUAUCGCUAAGAUAACCGCAUCCAAAGUUGCCAUGGUUCUCCUGUCACGAUAUGCCAGAAGAGAAGAAAUCACCUUUUUAAGCGGCGCGUGCACAACGGGAAUGAGAGCAAAUGUGAUGAAUCUUCGCCGGGUGUAACAGUCAAAACGUAUGUUUUUCUGUGAAAUGCGUUCACGAUAUGAAACUGUAGACCGUAUACUGUCGAAUUAUGCGAAAACGUGAAAUUCAACAUUUUAACCCGGAAGUUUGUUAUUGUUGAUUUUCUCAAAAUAACGUUGUGCGCAAAGCGACUGAUUUCGCUUUAAAUGUUCACAUAUUUGCUGGCCACUUUUCUUUAAAAUGUUCUGUAAAGGGAGUGGACAAGUAGCCUACUUUAAUAUUUCAUGAGUUUGAUUGUCUGACUUUCAGAGACCAUAUUCGUUUUUUUGCGCUAAGGCAUCGUGUUACCUUUCUAGUUUCUGUAUAUCGUGCAACACUAGUGUGUGUGUGUGUGUGUGUGUGUGUGUGUGUGUGUGCGCGCGCCUGUUGUGUUUGGUGGGUUGGAAGGCCUGGCUGCAGUGUCUAAAGUGUCCAGACAAACAUCAAGGGAGUUUGAGCUCCACUACGGGCUCCAGCAUAAAGAUAUGACUGUAUGGAGGUGUGUGUGUGUGUGUGCGCGUGCGUGCGCGUGCCUGUGUGUGUGUGUGUGUGUGUACGCAAAGGUUGGUGCUGUACAUGUCCUUCACAAGCUUGCCUCUAAAAACUGACUGAGUAAAAGAAUCAUCUGAUCUCAUCCUAA